CGGCCUUCUCUUGUCUGCGGACUCGGGCUUGACGGGAGGAGCUCGUGUGCCAAUGUGUUUCCCGCCAGUCAAGUGGCCGCCACUCUACCCUGCACGUGGGAAACUUUAGAUUUUGAGUUUUUCUGUACAACGGCAACAUGGGCGACAACGAAGAGCACACGAUCGCGGAGGAUUUCGUCGUGACCAAGUAUAAGAUGGCCGGCGAGAUUGUCAACCGGACGUUGAAGAAGCUUGUGGAAAUGUGCGUCCCUGAUGCAUCAGUUCGUGGCAUCUGUGUUGAGGGUGACAAAAUGCUAAUGGAGGAAUGCAAUAAAGUAUUCAAGAAGGAGAAGACCAUGAAAAAAGGUCUUGCUUUUCCAGUGUGUGUUUCAGUUAAUAACUGCAUCAACCACUAUUCACCUCUGUUCUCGGACAAGGACAGCACACUGAAGAAUGGCGAUAUGGUCAAAAUUGACAUGGGUGCCCACUUAGAUGGGUUGAUUGCAGUAGUUGGCCACACUGUUGUUGUUGGUGCUUCAAAAGAAAGCAAGGUUACUGGACGGAAAGCUGAUGCGAUUCUAGCUGCAUAUUAUUCUUCAGAGGCUGCACUUCGACUUGUGAAACCUGGCAACCAGAACUUUGCUGUUACAGUACCGUCACAAAGAUUAGCAAGACCUUUAAGUGUAAACCGGUGGAAGGCAUGUUGUCUUUCCAGCUUCAACAGCGGACGUAUUGAUGGUGAAAAGACUAUUAUCCAGAACCCAACAGAAGCACAGCGGAAGAAGUAGAAAAACAGACCUUGAAACACAUGAAGUUUAUGCAGUAGAUGUCAUUGUUUCCACAGAGAAGGCCAGGUAUGGCAGGGAGAUGGAUGCACGUGUUACAAUAUUUAGGAAAACUGAUGAAGUUUACCAUCUAAGUUAAAGGCAUCCCGAGAAUUCUUCGCUCAGGUCCAGAAAGGCUACCGUGAUAUGCCUUUCAAUUUGCGAUUAUUUGAGGAUGAGAAAAGCAACAGGGUGUCCUAGAAUGCGUAUCUCACAAGUUGAUUGAUCCAUAUCCAGUCUUGUGGAACGGGUAAAAAGGAGAAUUUGUUGCACAGUUCAAGUUCACUGUCCUCUUAAUGCCAGGUGGACAACACAGGAUUACAGGAUUGCCAUUUGAUCUUGAAUCAUUUGAGUCCCAAUACAAGAUUGAAGAUCCUGAACUGAAGCAACUGAUCAUCUCUUCUGUUAGUAACAAGAAUUCAAAGAAGAAGAAGAAGGCUGAUAAAGAGACUGCAACAGUGGUGAAGAAAGGAGACUAGCAAAACUCCACUCUAGGAAAUACAAGCCCCAUUGAAGCCAGAUGUGUAGAAGGGAGGAUGCUUCGGGAAAGUGUAUUUAGAAAAGGGCUGGUUUUGGAGAGUCCCAGGAUCACUUUUCUUUCCUUGGGAACUGGAGGAGCUUCUUUGCUGUAUCCACAGUCCGACAUCAUUUCCUCUUGAUAGGCCGACAAAUGCUCAGAAAUUCAUCAGUGUGGUAUAGUCUCAAACUGCCAUUGAGAAACCACUUCUUUUCCUCCUCCAUAAUUUUUCUAAUUUUAAUCCUUGAUUUUACUCUUGUCUCCUUUCCUAUACUGCUUUAUACUCUUCCUGAUGAUUUCUAAUAAGCUGUACUUUUUAUUCAGUUGAAUUUUAUAAUUGGAUUUUUUGUGCAUUCAAAAUUUUUUUUGGUGGUGUCAAGAGGCCUGCAGGGAAUAUGGGAGACUGUAUAACAGUAAUAUUAAAUUCCAAUUGAAUAUGAGGAUGGGUAUAUCAUU